rnacentral:rRNA from 1 species
GGGGAAUUUUGGACAAUGGGGGCAACCCUGAUCCAGCAAUGCCGCGUGUGUGAAGAAGGCCUUCGGGUUGUAAAGCACUUUUGCCAGGGAAGAAACGGUGAGGGCUAAUAUCCUUUGCUAAUGACGGUACCUGAAGAAUAAGGACCGGCUAACUACGUGCCAGCAGCCGCGGUAAUACGUAGGGUCCAAGCGUUAAUCGGAAUUACUGGGCGUAAAGCGUGCGCAGGCGGUUGUGUAAGUCAGAUGUGAAAUCCCCGGGCUUAACCUGGGAAUGGCAUUUGAGACUGCACGGCUAGAGUGUGUCAGAGGGGGGUAGAAUUCCACGUGUAGCAGUGAAAUGCGUAGAGAUGUGGAGGAAUACCGAUGGCGAAGGCAGCCCCCUGGGAUAACACUGACGCUCAUGCACGAAAGCGUGGGGAGCAAAC